UAGAAAAUAAAUAACUCAGCAGGUCUAAUCGAAAGUAUGAGAUGGCACCAGAUUCUUUAUAAAUUCAUCUUUUUUCCCCAAAAAAAUCGGGAAACACUUCCAACAUUUUUUAAUAACAAAAGUAUAAAUAUUAUUUAAAUAUACUUGAAAUGUCUGAAAAUUGGUUUCAUUUAACUUGAGGUAUAUUGUCUCAAGAAACCUUACCACACCUUUAUUUUAACAAGGCCGUAACUACAUGUAGGAAAUUUCAAAACCAAACGCUUGUCUCUAUAUCAAAUUGUGUUCACGGCCUUGCAAGAAGAAAGUUCUGUUUUCCCUCAGACUUAUAGCCCUGAUUUUUCGGGAUCAAUGUUUCUUAUUUAUUUGUCUUUUGUUCAUUGAUUGCCCUUCUGUAUUCUGUUAGUGUUGCAUUCCUUUUGUAAUCUAGUAAUUUUGUUAUGAACUUGAUCAUGAGUUUAAAAAAAAAACAGCAGCUACAGGCCUAACUAUGUGAAUUCCAUUUUUGCUUUAUCAUGCACAUUGAUCUUUUGAUGUUGUCCCUAGAAACUUCAGUCUUGCACUGAAUUUAUACAUUUUGCUUUGAGACCAAAAUAUUGUCAAAAAUUAUUAAAACAAAACUUCAUUUUCAGAUUAUGAAAGGGUCUUCAGAACACCAGAAAGCAUGAUUUUGCAUCAUUUGUUCUAUAGCUUCUUGGGCCUUCAGUGGCUCCAAACCCCUUCAAAAAAAAUUUUGCCUCGCUCCGCUCGGCGUAGUAUGUUUGCCAAUACAUUUAAAAGUUCCUACUUAUAACUAAACUUCAAUACUAUGUAUGUAUGCAAUACAUGUAUAUGCAGUUGGGAAUUUAAAACAUUCAUUUCUGCAGAGGGGGAUGGUUAAUCUAAUUAAAUAGUACAUAAUGACUUGACUAUACUAUAUGUAUUAUUUAUAAUAAACAAAUCAUUUAAAA
rnacentral:lncRNA from 1 species